GCCCCCGUUGUCUAAUGGUUAUGACGUCAGACUUCUACAGCCGUGUCUGUUAUCUGGAGGUUGCGGGUUCGAAUCCCGCCGGGGGUU